CACCAACCUCCACUACUCCCCAGAGGACACUGGAUAUGCGCUCUCAGGAAGGGCGUCCACGUAGCCUCAGGGAUGGAGACAACCACGAAAUCCUGUCAGCCUUAACAGCCAGGAAAGGAAAACCAACAAAUGGCAGUUUAAAGGUUACAGCGAUUCAGCUGUCCAUCAGUGAGUAUGUGGGGCAGGCCCAUCACGUGGCACUGUGUGAGGCGCUGCGGGACAUGCGGGGAUGAAUACAGCACUGCCAGGGCCCUUGAGGAGCCCCAGAUCUUGUGACAGUGGAAGAACAUGAGACUUGGAGUCAGACUGGAAGCCAAGGAGAGAGGCCUCAGGAGAAACCAGUCCUGCAACCCCUUGAUCUCAGACACCUUGAUCAGAACCUCCAGACUGUGAGAUAACCAAUAUCCAUUGUUUAAGCCACCCAGCCUAUUGUGCUUUGUGAUGGCAGCCCCAGCAAACUCCUACAUCACCCUCACUUAAUUUAUCUGUUUUAGGCAGUAUUUAUUUCUUACUCUGACAGUUGAGGAAUUAGCUUUCUCGUACCACGCUAACUUCCAUUUUUUCUUCUCCCCUUAUCCUCAUAAUAUAGUUUUCCACAAUUUAUAGUUAAAUCAAUAGUUAGUGUUUACAUUAUUGAUUAGGUAAAUAAAUACUGUCCACUCAA